rnacentral:lncRNA from 1 species
UGGCAGAGUGCUUAAAAACACUGGCCUUGGUGGAAGCCUGGGUGGCUCAGUCGGUUAAUUGUCUGACUCUUGAUUUCAGCUCAGGUAAUGAUUUCAUGGUUCAUGAGAUCAAAACCCCACAGCAUCGGGCUCUGUGCUGACAGCACUGAACCUGCUUGAGAUUCUCUCUCUCCUUCUCUCUCUGCCCCUCCCCAACUUUUGCAUGCACACAUGUGCAUGUGCUCUCUCUCUCUCUCUCUCUCUCUCAAAAAUAAAUAAACUUUAAAAAGAAACAAAAAAACCUCACUGGCCUUGGAAUUCAAAAGACAAUGGUUUGAAUCUAGAUUCUGCCCCUUGCUUAUUUGUGAUUUUCCUCUGUUUCCUUUUCAGUAAAACAAGGCUAAUAAUGCCCACCUCCCCUGAUUCCUGAGCAGAUCAAAUAAUGAGUGAGCAUCAGUGGUAGUAGAGCUUGCAAAAUUCAAACAUGGACCCUGCUGAAUGUGUCACCUGCGUCCUGCUGAUGCAUAUGCUCACCUCUGGAGCACAGGUGAGGUCUUAAGUGACCACAAAAGAAGGACCAGACAGAGUAACAAAGAGAACUCCUCCUUUAGGAUUGUUGAGACAGGACGCUCUGUGGGCUCCAGCCCCAACGGCAGCUCACGUGGAAGAAGAGGAGAGAUCCAUCUCCACCCCUCCUGAAAAGUGAGUCACCCUUUCAACAUGCCCUUCUGAUGUCACAGCUGGUUCUACCAGAUCCCUCUGGAGCUGGGCCUCACCCCUGCCAAGAUGGAACCUUCACUCUCCUCCUUUGUCAAAAGCAGGAAACACUUGCCAGACAGAACUACCAGGACCCCAGAGCCCCA